UCAGAAUUACCUCCAAAAAUACCCUUCAAGCCACAGAUCUAAAAUUCAAACAUUCAGAUCAGAUACUCUCUUUAGAUCUUAGACUCUCCAAAAAGAAAAUCAAAAAUAGCAGAAAAUUACUCAAAUAAAAAAAGUAGUACUGUUCCAUUGAAUUUCUAGCUAAUUUCAAGUUUUGGUAGUCAAGUUGCAUUUCUCAGUUCAAUUGAUGUUGAUUCAAGGAUUCAGAGUUGUUCUAGCUGAUUUGGAGUGGUUUGGAGUUAUUUCAAAUUGGUUUUUGAGUUGAUCUAUUAGUUCUAUUGGGUUUCAAAACAUUUCUGGAUCUAGAAUGGGUGGUUUUUGAUACUUUGUUGUUGUAUUCACACUGCUGAGAAUUGUUCAUUACUGAUGCUGCUCUAUCACUGCCUGGCCUUUUCUCCUCAAUUUCUAUUCUAUUCCAGGUAUUUUUCCAACUCCAAUCAUUAUGUGGGUGACUGAACCAAUGUAGACUGUUUAAUCAAGGAAAUAAAAUCAGGAUUGUGCCAAUUUGAUGUCAAUUUUGUUUAAUCUUUAAUAUUAGAUGCGCCUAG
rnacentral:lncRNA from 1 species